rnacentral:antisense_RNA from 1 species
UUUGAUGGCGGUUGUGCGCAUGGCAUCUUAGGAUGCGCCGGGUUUGGCAACGUACCGGUCUACUAACUUGCGCACAGCUGCCACCCUU